rnacentral:rRNA from 1 species
CCUACGGGUGGCAGCAGUGGGGAAUAUUGGACAAUGGGCGAAAGCCUGAUCCAGCCAUGCCGCGUGUGUGAAGAAGGCCUUCGGGUUGUAAAGCACUUUCAGUGGGGAAGAAAGCCUUGGGGCUAAUACCCUCGAGGAAGGACAUCACCCACAGAAGAAGCACCGGCUAACUCCGUGCCAGCAGCCGCGGUAAUACGGAGGGUGCGAGCGUUAAUCGGAAUUACUGGGCGUAAAGCGCGCGUAGGCGGUCUGAUAAGCCGGUUGUGAAAGCCCCGGGCUCAACCUGGGAACGGCAUCCGGAACUGUCAGGCUAGAGUGCAGGAGAGGAAGGUAGAAUUUCCGGUGUAGCGGUGAAAUGCGUAGAGAUUGGGAGGAAUACCAGUGGCGAAGGCGGCCUUCUGGACUGACACUGACGCUGAGGUGCGAAAGCGUGGGUAGCAAACAGGAUUAGAUACCCUGGUAGUC